rnacentral:rRNA from 1 species
GACGAACGCUGGCGGCGUGCUUAACACAUGCAAGUCGAACGGAAAGGCCCUGCGUUUGUGGGGUGCUCGAUUGGCGAACGGGGGAGUAACACGUGAGUAACCUGCCCUUGACUUUGGGAUAACUUCAGGAAACUGGGGCUAAUACCGGAUAGGAGCUCCUGCUGCAUGGUGGGGGUUGGAAAGUUUCGGCGGUUGGGGCUGGACUCGCGGCUUAUCAGCUUCUUGGUGGGGUAGUGGCUGACCAAGGCUUUGACGGGUAGCCCGCCUGAGAGGGUUACCGGCGACAUGGGGCCUGAGAGACGGACCAGAAGGCUACGGGAGGCAGCAGUGGAGAAUAUUGCACAACGGGCGGGAGCCUGUGGCAGCAAUGCCGCGUGCGGAAUGACGGCCUUCGGGUUGUAAACCGCUUUCGCCUGUGACGAAGAGUGCGUGACGGUAAUGGGUCAAGAAGCACCGGCUAACUACGUG